rnacentral:rRNA from 1 species
AAAACAUAGCCCUAGAUACAAUCUAAGGUGUAACCUGCCCAGUGAUCUUUAAUUUGAAUAAUGUAAAGUCUUAGUAAUAAGAUUAAAAGGACGCGGUAACCUUGACCGUGAUAAUGUAGCAUAAUCACUCGCCAUUUAAUUGAUGGAUAGUAUGAAUGGUUGAACGAAUAUUCCACUGUCUUAGAAAGAAUUAAUAAAAAUUGAAAUAAUAGUUAAGAUGCUAUUUUGAACUGUAAGACGAAAAGACCCUAUAGAGCUUAACUAUAACCUUUUUAUAUAAUAAGAAAACUAAUUCACUUAAUAAAAAGGUUGGUAGUUUAGUUGGGGCGACUGCUUUCUAAUUUUAACGAAAGUAAGCAACGUUAAUAUUUAACUUAUUGUAUAAUUAAUACAUUUAACAAUCAUUAAAAUGGGCUAUAAUGACCCGUUUUUACUUAGUAAAAAGAAAAACGAUCAAUAAAUAAAAGCUACCUUAGGGAUAACAGGAUAAUUUCAUUUUAGAGCUCCUAUCGAAAAUGAAGUUUGUCACCUCUAUGUUGAAUUAAGAUGUCCUGAUAAUGCAGAAGUUAUCA